GCUGGCGGCACGCCUAACACAUGCAAGUCGAGCGAGGUACUUGUACCUAGCGGCAGACGGGUGCGUAACAUGUGGGAAUCUGCCUUUUGGUUCGGAACAACACGGGGAAACUUGUGCUAAUACCGGAUAAGUCCUAACGGAGAAAGAUUUAUCGCCGAAAGAUGAGCCCGCACUAGAUUAGCUUGUUGGUAAGGUAAAAGCUUACCAAGGCUACGAUCUAUAGCUGAUUUGAGAGGAUGAUCAGCCACACUGGGACUGAGACACGGCCCAGACUCCUACGGGAGGCAGCAGUGGGGAAUCUUGCACAAUGGAGGAAACUCUGAUGCAGCGAUGCCGCGUGAGUGAAGAAGGCCCUUGGGUUGUAAAGCUCUUUUGUCGGGAAAGAUAAUGACUGUACCCGAAGAAUAAGGUCCGGCUAACUUCGUGCCAGCAGCCGCGGUAAUACGAAGGGACCUAGCGUAAUUCGGAAUUACUGGGCGUAAAGCGCGCGUAGGCGGUUAAGUAAGUUAAUUGUGAAAGCCCAAAGCUCAACUUUGGAAUUGCAAUUAAAACUACUUAGCUAGAGUUUAUCAGAGGAAAGCGGAAUACAUAGUG
rnacentral:rRNA from 1 species